AUGAGGUUCAACAAGCAUAAGGAUUUUUAUCUCUCUAGGCCGAUCUGAUCAGAAGAUCUCGGGGAGCCUUACAGUUUAUCUCCCGCUGAGUCCCCCUUUUAAGGCCAUCUAUCAGAGCUGACUUUAAUGAACUCCACACACACAAAGCUAUAAAAUAAAACAACAACACUUUAUUUGCUAAGGGGAGAGGAAGGAAUGGAAAGGGGAAUGGAUUAAUGAUUCUGGAGAUUCGGAAUAACACACAGGCACUUAUAAUACAAGAUGUUCUAUCUUUACAGACAUCAGCGAUAAAGGGGUGCAGGAUCCAGAAAAGAGAAGCCAGUAGUGAACACUGACCGUGGACAACAGAUGAAACAGACAGACGAACUAUCGCAAGAAGGUGUGGAUACAACAGUACAUUGAGAGCCGAGAAGGAAGGACUGUGCUGGAGUACUAAUUCUGAACAUGGCACUAGGUCUUUCAUGAACCCAAGGAGCUGAUAUAUUUCCAGAAACCCACCCCAUGGUACAUGCUCAGAUGGGAAGGGCUUGAACCACCCAACUAGAAGCAGAACACAGACAGAUGUUUUCCUCAGGUGCUACCCCAGACGAUACUGCCAGGACCGCAAUUCAUUGUGCAGCUUGUGCUGACGGCGGCCUCACCGCACCCUGCACCACUUGCU